UUAUUCAAUACAAUUUCAUUUCAGAUUAAAACCUUUCAACUUUCUUCAAUCGAAAUAACCCCCAAUCAAUUCUGAACACUAAAAUUAAUUGAAACCCUUUCAACUUUCUUCAAUUAAAACUUUCGUGAAAUGUUACCAUGGCGAUUAAAGGAGUAUUUCAAGGGGCAAUACCCUAUUGAAGAUGCUAAACCCACACUCUCUCACCACCACUGGUUUCAGAAUUGCCUCAUGCCGUCUUCAUUCACGGUGUUUAUUCACGAGGGAAGAUACAUUCCGAGCUUAUUUUCACAACUCGAAAGACCCUCUCUCUCAAUGUUUGAAGAUUGCCGGAGCUUCGCCGGAGAAACCCUCUUGCUCUCCAUCGUCGGUAUACCCUUCUUUUAGUUGUUUAUCAUAUGUUUCGUCUCUCCAUUUUAUAAACAUACAAAAGCUUGUUUGAAUUAAAGUGGCAAACAAAAAUGUAACAGUAAUAAGGCUGGUCAGGUCAGAUGUAGUCGGGUCAAGGUCCGUUUGGGUCAAAGUCAAGUGUAGUCGGGUCAUAGGCAUAUAAAUGGCGGUCCAGGUACAAUAAAGGAAGUAAGGAACAUGUUUAGAGUGAAGGGUGGCCGGUUGUUUGUUUCUUUACCUCGAGUUAAUGUUCGAGGCGGAUAUGAAUGAACGUUCGUGUACAGGUUAUUUUUAUUGGUAUUAAAGUGUUAACCUACUCUGGUUAUACGUGGUUGGUAUAAAGAGAGAGAGAAACGGGAGUGACAGAGAGGGAGAAGUAGGGAAGCGGUCGGUGGUUUCUGAAGGCAAUCGGAUCUUCUUCCCAAUCAAUGAAAAAAGAAGGUUGCGGAGGCGGCGUCUAGGAGUUCGGAUUUCUUUCCUCCGGCCAUCUGACUGACGUUCAGCUGUUGUAGUUCCAGUGAAGUUGAUAGCAAAGCAUGGUAAAAGUGAAAAAGGCAUUCAAUCUGAGACAACAAAUUGAGCUACUAAUGAUGUUUAUAUAUAUAUUUUAUCAAUAACUCUGUGUUGGGGGUGUAACUCAUCUGAUGCCUACCCUUUGUUUGUCUAAACGUAACUCUGUUUUCGCAAUGUUUUUAAAAUCAUUGUUAGCGAUAGGAGGGUGAUGGUGUUUACUGGAUGCAUAUUACUGUUGUUUAUACUUCAUAGGCAGUUAGAUUAUAUAUUACAAAAGGCACUUGUGCUGUAAUAUAGAGUCCUAAAAACUCUUUUAUGAACUUAUUCUAGGAAGUUCUCUUUUAUGAACAUUAUGUUUCACACUAUCAUAAUGUUCUUUUAUAUCACGAAAUAUUCAUGCUGCAGGGAUGUGUAAUGCACUUGUUGAUCAAGUGGAUCAUAGCAAGAGGAAGAACUUUUUGAUCAAGUUGGUGAUUGUUUGGGUACUCUACUUAAGACCUUUAAGGCUCCAUUUUUGCCUUUAUUUGAUGAAUUAUUACCGUACUUGAUGCCUAUGUGGGGCAAUGAUAGGACCGAUGAGGAUUAGUCUUUUUUGCAAAUUCACCGUGAUAGUAUUAAUGUUGCUCAGAUUGUUCCUGCAUGGCUAAACUGAUUGCCAAUAAAAGAUGACUUGAUUGAGGCUAAAGUUGUGCAUGAUCAGCUUUGCUCAAUGGUGGAAAGGUCUGAUGGAGAAUUGUUAGGGCUUAACCAUCAGUAUCUUCCAAAGAUAGUUGGAGUAUUUGCAGAUGUACAUAUAUCCACACUCAAAUAAUUUUUUAUUAAUUUUAUUUUUUCAUCUAGAAUUCU